rnacentral:rRNA from 1 species
GACAUAGGGUGCAAACGUUGUUCGGAUUUAUUGGGCGUAAAGAGCUCGUAGGCGGUUCGGCAAGUCGGGUGUGAAAUUUCGAGGCUCAACCUCGAAACGCCACUCGAUACUGCUGUGACUGGAGUCCGGUAGAGGAGUGCGGAAUUCCUGGUGUAGCGGUGAAAUGCGCAGAUAUCAGGAGGAACACCAACGGCGAAGGCAGCACUCUGGGCCGGUACUGACGCUGAGGAGCGAAAGCGUGGGGAGCAAACAGG